UCUUGGUGGCCAUUUCAUAGU
rnacentral:misc_RNA from 1 species